AGAGUUUGAUCCUGGCUCAGGAUGAACGCUAGCUACAGGCUUAACACAUGCAAGUCGAGGGGCAGCAUGGUCUUAGCUUGCUAAGGCCGAUGGCGACCGGCGCACGGGUGAGUAACACGUAUCCAACCUGCCGUCUACUCUUGGACAGCCUUCUGAAAGGAAGAUUAAUACAAGAUGGCAUCAUGAGUCCGCAUGUUCACAUGAUUAAAGGUAUUCCGGUAGACGAUGGGGAUGCGUUCCAUUAGAUAGUAGGCGGGGUAACGGCCCACCUAGUCUUCGAUGGAUAGGGGUUCUGAGAGGAAGGUCCCCCACAUUGGAACUGAGACACGGUCCAAACUCCUACGGGAGGCAGCAGUGAGGAAUAUUGGUCAAUGGGCGAGAGCCUGAACCAGCCAAGUAGCGUGAAGGAUGACUGCCCUAUGGGUUGUAAACUUCUUUUAUAAAGGAAUAAAGUCGGGUAUGGAUACCCGUUUGCAUGUACUUUAUGAAUAAGGAUCGGCUAACUCCGUGCCAGCAGCCGCGGUAAUACGGAGGAUCCGAGCGUUAUCCGGAUUUAUUGGGUUUAAAGGGAGCGUAGAUGGAUGUUUAAGUCAGUUGUGAAAGUUUGCGGCUCAACCGUAAAAUUGCAGUUGAUACUGGAUAUCUUGAGUGCAGUUGAGGCAGGCGGAAUUCGUGGUGUAGCGGUGAAAUGCUUAGAUAUCACGAAGAACUCCGAUUGCGAAGGCAGCCUGCUAAGCUGCAACUGACAUUGAGGCUCGAAAGUGUGGGUAUCAAACAGGAUUAGAUACCCUGGUAGUCCACACGGUAAACGAUGAAUACUCGCUGUUUGCGAUAUACUGCAAGCGGCCAAGCGAAAGCGUUAAGUAUUCCACCUGGGGAGUACGCCGGCAACGGUGAAACUCAAAGGAAUUGACGGGGGCCCGCACAAGCGGAGGAACAUGUGGUUUAAUUCGAUGAUACGCGAGGAACCUUACCCGGGCUUAAAUUGCAGAUGAAUUACGGUGAAAGCCGUAAGCCGCAAGGCAUCUGUGAAGGUGCUGCAUGGUUGUCGUCAGCUCGUGCCGUGAGGUGUCGGCUUAAGUGCCAUAACGAGCGCAACCCUUGUUGUCAGUUACUAACAGGUUCCGCUGAGGACUCUGACAAGACUGCCAUCGUAAGAUGUGAGGAAGGUGGGGAUGACGUCAAAUCAGCACGGCCCUUACGUCCGGGGCUACACACGUGUUACAAUGGGGGGUACAGAGGGCCGCUACCACGCGAGUGGAUGCCAAUCCCCAAAACCUCUCUCAGUUCGGACUGGAGUCUGCAACCCGACUCCACGAAGCUGGAUUCGCUAGUAAUCGCGCAUCAGCCACGGCGCGGUGAAUACGUUCCCGGGCCUUGUACACACCGCCCGUCAAGCCAUGGGAGCCGGGGGUACCUGAAGUGCGUAACCGCGAGGAGCGCCCUAGGGUAAAACUGGUGACUGGGGCUAAGUCGUAACAAGGUAGCC
rnacentral:rRNA from 1 species